CACAAGCGGUGGAGUAUGUGGUUUAAUUCGAUGCAACGCGAAAACCUUACCUGCCCUUGACAUCCUCGGAACUUGUCAGAGAUGACUUGGUGCCUUCGGGAACCGAGAGACAGGUGCUGCAUGGCUGUCGUCAGCUCGUGUCGUGAGAUGUUGGGUUAAGUCCCGUAACGAGCGCAACCCUUGUCCAUAGUUGCCAGCACGUAAAGGUGGGAACUCUAUGGAGACUGCCGGUGACAAACCGGAGGAAGGUGGGGAUGACGUCAAGUCCUCAUGGCCUUUAUGGCCAGGGCUACACACGUACUACAAUGGCCGGUACAAAGGGCAGCGACAUUGCGAGAUGGAGCGAAUCCCGAAAAGCCGGUCUCAGUCCGGAUUGGAGUCUGCAACUCGACUCCAUGAAGUUGGAAUCGCUAGUAAUCGUGGAUCAGCAUGCCACGGUGAAUACGUUCCCGGGCCUU
rnacentral:rRNA from 1 species